rnacentral:rRNA from 1 species
CCUACGGGUGGCAGCAGUGGGGGAUAUUGAACAAUGGGGGGAACCCUGAUGCAGCGACGCCGCGUGGGUGAAGGAGGGUUUCGGCGCGUAAAGCCCUAUCGGCAGGGAAGAAGGAGGACGGUACCGGACGAAGAAGCCCCGGCUUACUACGUGCCAGCAGCCGCGGUAAGACGGAGGGGGCAAGCGUUAUCCGGCUGUACGGGGGGGAAAGGGGGCGCAGACGGAAGCGCAAGGCAGGAGUGAAAGCCCGGGGCCCAACCCCGUGACUGCUCUUGGAACUGCGCGGCUGGAGUGCAGGCGGGGCAGGCUGCCUUCCUGGUGUCGCGGUGAACUGCGUAGCUAUCAGGC